GCACCGGUAGUGUAGCGGUUAUCACCGGGCGUUGCCAACGCUCGAACUCGGGUUCGAUUCCCGACCGGCGCA
rnacentral:tRNA from 1 species